rnacentral:rRNA from 1 species
UACGUAGGUCCCGAGCGUUGUUCGGAUUUAUUGGGCGUAAAGCGAGCGCAGGUGGUUUAUUAAGUCUGGUGUAAAAGGCAGUGGCUCAACCAUUGUAUGCAUUGGAAACUGGUAGACUUGAGUGCAGGAGAGGAGAGUGGAAUUCCAUGUGUAGCGGUGAAAUGCGUAGAUAUAUGGAGGAACACCGGUGGCGAAAGCGGCUCUCUGGUCUGUAACUGACGCUGAGGUUCGAAAGCGUGGGUAGCAAACAGG